rnacentral:lncRNA from 1 species
AAUCCGUUCGGUUUUAGAUUUUGCAGAUUUGAUCUGUUUCUUUAGAAUCCAAGCCAAAUUGCUUCUCUUCUUUAUACUAUCUACAAUAAGAUCAAUAUUUCUGAUCGAAAAUUUAGUGCUAUAUCACAACUUUUUAUAGGAUUUUUAUUUUCAGCCGUUAAAAAUUAUUGAUUUUGAAUCCUUUCGAUUGCUAGGUAAAUGAUAUCGAAAAAUCGUAAAAAUUAUUUUCUAGAAACUUCAAAUACGCUAGAUCAAGUCUAACGAAGCCGAUCAUCGAUUCGAAAAUUCCAUCAUCGAAAAUGGCUCAGGAGCACGGAGGCCUCCGUACUCCUAAGAGCACAGCAGCCCUACUCUAUAUAUAUAUAUA